rnacentral:hammerhead_ribozyme from 1 species
AUCCAACUGACGAGUCCCAAAUAGUACGAGACGUGCGUCCUGGAU